rnacentral:lncRNA from 1 species
CGGUUUGAAGCGUUGGAUUCUUGACUUCCUGAGCUUUGAAAUGGUAUAUAGCAUGUAGAAAAUGGACUUCGGGAAGUGCUCCAAAAGUGCGAAAGAAGACUGCAGCUGUUGUCCUCUAUUUUCUUCACUUUGCUUGUUUUUCCUCUUUGCUUCUCUCCUUUACUUGGCUUGUCUUAAUGAUCCAAAAAGCUGUCAAAACACUAAAAAUAGCCACAAAUAUGAUUAGAAGUCAUUGCUAGGUCCUUAACAUGCC